rnacentral:rRNA from 1 species
CCUUUGACGUUAGCGGCGGACGGGUGAGUAACACGUGGGUAACCUACCUAUAAGACUGGGAUAACUUCGGGAAACCGGAGCUAAUACCGGAUAAUAUUUCGAACCGCAUGGUUCGAUAGUGAAAGGUGGUUUUGCUAUCACUUAUAGAUGGACCCGCGCCGUAUUAGCUAGUUGGUAAGGUAACAGCUUACCAAGGCGACGAUACGUAGCCGACCUGAGAGGGUGAUCGGCCACACUGGAACUGAGACACGGUCCAGACUCCUACGGGAGGCAGCAGGG